GGGCGUAUAGCUCAGUUGGUUAGAGUAGUGGACUUUUAAUCCAAGGGUCUUGGGUUCAACCCCCAAUACGCCCA
rnacentral:tRNA from 1 species